rnacentral:lncRNA from 1 species
AUGACUGCAAUGGAUAGCAAGGCCUGAGUGGCAAGCAGAGUGCCUUUACCUGGAAGAGCUGGAAAUACGUGAAUUUUCUCAUUUAUGUAACAGAGAGAGAAAAAAGAGAGAAGACAGAGAGAGAGAGAGAGAGAGAGAGUAAGCAGAAGGCCAAUGUCAGCCCUGCACCAAGUUCAUUUCAGAAUUGGUCCAAUAGAUCCACCCCCCACCUGCAUUUUCCACCCUGUUUUACUGUCCGUUGUUUGCCUACUUGUGUUCACCCACCCUCGCUACGGCCAUGGUGGUGCUAUGGUCACACUGGCCUUACUGAGCAUGGGCUACAUUACCGGAGCUUGAACCGUACGCUCUUGCUUGAUAAAACCCUCCUAAAGCAUUCUGAGGGAGACAUCACUGUCACUGUUACAGAUGCAACAUUGAGCCCAAGGCUAGACAUCGCAGAGCAGCAGACCUGGCGUCUGGCUGUUCUAGUGCAUGACCAUGAAUUGAGGAGACCCUCAGACAAUGCUGCCUUCUAUGUGUUUAAAAUAGAUCCUUCAGACUAUCAUUUGCUUAUUUAUUUUAGAUUCGUGGUUCUAUUUGAAACUAUUUAAAAGUCACGGCAUCCCGUUGGCAUUAUGUAAAGCCAUGUGCCUGUAUUUCAUCUUCCCUCCCUACCUAUCACCUGGAUAUUAUGUCACUUUUCCUCUUUAUAGAGAAAAAUUGUUAGUCUUUUCCACAUAUUUAAAAAUUGUCCAAAAGAAAUGUAUUUGUUUUAAAAUGAUGGUUAGCGAGUUUUCUUCUUUGCUUUGUUUUUAACUGCUGUGGUUAUACACGGUGCUCUGUGAAUGAAGGGUUUCAGCCAAAGAACUGCAGAGCAGAGGCUUCCUAGAGAGGGGCAUGGUGGGCAGCAUCUCUGCACUGUGUCCAGCUUUCACCCCAGAACCACCCUGGGCCAGCAUGCACCGACUGUUGCAAGAGAAGGCCUCUUGGCAGAAAGAAAAAAAACCACUACAGCAUCCAGGUGACAGAGAGAGGACGCAACCAUGCCCGCUUUGCCUCCGCGACGCAUUGUAUUUUUCCUAAACUGCAGUUCCCCGGCACCCUGUCUGUAUUGCGUAUUGGCUUGCUCAGCUAUACUGUGUGCAUUUCCUAAGAAAGACGGAGCAGCAGAUGAGGCUCCGAUCGCACUCCUGGCGCUGUCCAGCCCAUGGUGGGAGAAGUGCAGCCGCGUCUGAACGUACCUCUUCUGAGAGCCGCGCACGCAGAUUUAGGAGCUGAUUGUGACGAUGACUAUUUCUGAGCUAAUCUUUCAAAUGUUUCUUUCUAUGAAAUGAAGACGUAAAUAAAACAGGAAGGAAAUAUCACCAAGCAGGAAAAGGGGGAGGAAAGCAUUUGGUGUUGGGUUCUGUAAUCACCAGAGUGCUCCUGCCCGUGGCUAAUGCUGGAACCAGGAGAAGGGGCUCUGAAGAAAACACAGCAUGGAAACCAGAAAGAAGAUGAUCAGAUUACCAGCCCCUGGAUUUGUGAGCCGGUCUCAAUCGGACCAGAGCAGGCUUGAUUUCAGACCCGCAGAGUCUCAGACGCCAACCUCACCCCCUUCCUCCCCGCACACCACUAUUUUUAAAGAACCCCCAACCUCUUUCCAAUCAUGAUAGUGUUGCUUUCUUUUCUUUUUCUAUUUUUUUUUUUCCUUAUCUAUCCACCGAAAAUCUUCUAAUGAAAGAGAGUACCACUUCAGGAACUUCAGGGUUGGGAAAAUCAGACGGAUUCGUGGAUUUCAAGUUAGAAAUGCCUCCUAGAAUAUUUAAAAUCAAAACAGAUAGAGAAGUGGAAACUUAAGUUCUUUGCCCCUUGAAGAAAUGUACAUGUCUCUUGCAGAUAUUCUUCGGGGCAGGCAAUAGUGGGGUUCUCUUUCACAGCAUCCUCAUCACUUUCGUGAUUCUGAAUCGCCCCUGUCACCCUUUGAAAGAAGAAGAGACCCAGCUCCGUGCUCAGCAUGCCUGCUUCUCAGAGCUGCCCCCUUUGGAUUUUGAGGGAGAAGGGUUUAUGUUGUUUAUUGGGGUGGUAAAAAAAAAUGCCUGAUGCCUGUUUCCUUGUGCUUAGCACAACCAGGGUGGCAUUCAUCUUCAAUAAUGUAAGUGUAUGUGCAUUACCUUUGAAGACCUAGGGUAGUAUAAGGAAUGGUUGGGAGUGGCCCGUCGGGACUAAUCUCCUCUACCUGCAGUGUCCCAGGACCCACGUUUGGCUUCAUGGAGAACCUGGACCACACAUCUCCAACCUGCCAUGUUCUUCCUCCAGGUUCUGUCACUGAGUCAUAAACUCAGGGAAGGUGCUAGAGACAUCAAGAUGGGGAAUGUCUAUUCCCUGUCCAUCUGGAUUUUACAAUAAGCAGCAAGAUAGAUUCAUCCAAAAGAGCUCAGUUUUUUAAAAGAUAUUGAGCAAAGAUGAGCAUGUACAAAAACAUGAAAAACCAUGCUCUGAGGAAAGACUCAUGCGUUCAUUGAACAAGUAAGAUAAUUGAGCUGUAGAAAGAAAUAUGGUGAAAUACCCUUGCAAAGAAAUUUUGAAAAAUGUCAUGUUGCCUUUUAUGUUAUCUUGAUGUAGAACCAAAACCACAACAAAAUUGCCAGCUUUGCAAGAAAAGUCAUUAUGGCUAGGGGAAGAAAAAAAGAACAUACAAGACAAAAGCAAUGUUGGUAAAUGACAGGAAGCAUGCCAAGUUCUUCAGUCACAUAUAAACUACAAUGAAAUAAAAUAAAUCUUACAUUAAUAAGAAAA